AUCUAUCACCACCGCACGUUCCAUUCCACGCCGCGACCCCAUGGCAUUUCUCUCUCUCUCUCACACGCGCGCGCGCGCACACACACACUUGACGCAGCUUCGAAUCUCAGAAUUUUGUCGUGUAGAUCCGCGGGUUUGUGUUUGAUUUGGUCCAACAAAACCUAGUGACGGAGGAAGCGAAUGAACCGCCAUGGCUACCAGCGUUGUCCCAAAGGUUGCCGUCAUCGGAAGCGGAAUUUCUGGAGCCGUAUGUGCAUCUACUCUGGCCAGGAAUGGGGUCUCAGUCACCAUCUUCGACUCCGCUAGAGGUCCCGGCGGCCGAAUGUCUCAGAGAAGAGAGAUUAUUGAAGAUGGAAAGGAGCUGUUAUUCGACCAUGGUGCUCCUUACUUCACAGCCACCAAUGCCGACGUCUUGGGCCUUGUCCGUGAUUGGGAAGCGAGAGGUCUUGUUGCUGAGUGGAAAGAGAAUUUUGGUUCCUUCGAUUUUGCCUCUCAAAAAUUUGUUAACGUUGAAAAGGAAGGAUUGAGCAAGAAAUAUGUGGGUGUCCCGGGAAUGAAUUCUAUUUGCAGUGCAUUAUGCAAAGAGCCAGGAGUAGAAACCAAGUUCGGGGAGGGUGUUGGGAGGCUAGAGUGGUUGGAGGAUGAGGAUUCAUGGUUAUUGACAGGUUUAGAUGGACAAUAUCUUGGUCAUUUCAAGGGUGUGGUUGCAUCCGACAAAAAUAUAGUUUCACCCAGGUUUACAAAUGUGACAGGACGAUCAACACCUCUUGAUUUAAGUUUGGUUCCGGAGUUGGCCAUGAGGAUGAAAGAAAUCCCUGUUACUUCAUGUUUUGCACUGAUGCUAGCAUUUGAAGAACCUUUGUCUUUGAUACCAGUAAAAGGCGUCUCCUUCAACAAUUCUGAAGUUUUAAGGUGGGCAUUUUGCAACAGCAGCAAGCCAGAGCGUUCUACAUUUAGUGAGCAUUGGGUGUUGCACUCAACAGAUGAGUAUGCAAAGAGUGUAAUUGCUCAAAUGGGACUUCAAAAGCCUUCAAAUGCUGCAUUGACUAAAGUGGCCGAUGAACUAUUUCAAGAGUUCCAGAACACUGGACUCAACAUUUCUAAGCCAUUUUUCAAGAAAGCUCAUAGGUGGGGUAGUGCUUUUCCUGCCUCUAGCAUUGCAACAGAGGAGAAAUGCCUCUGGGAUGGGAAGAAGAGACUGGCCAUAUGUGGAGACUUUUGUGUUAGUCCAAAUGUUGAAGGUGCCAUACUUAGUGGCAUGGCCGCAGCCUCAAAGGUUAUUGAGAUCCUUAGUUGCUUAUAGUGACGACAAUAUCAGUUAAUCAUGCAGUUGCCUUCACAACAUGCUUGGGUUUGUAGUUGUUCACACAGGAUGAUUUAGCUAUUCGCUGUUGCUUGGUUGACAUAUACCUCAGAAUAAUCUGGUGAAAACAAAUAGCUCUCCCUCCUGGUUUGGAUAAUGUUGUAACAUCAUAUCCAGAAUCCCUCCUGGUUUGGAUAAUGUUGUAACAUCAUAUCCAGAAUGCAGCCAAUGGGGCAGCACCAUGUGUAACUUGGCAAUCACAAAUCCUUGGUUAUAUCAAUAAAUUUGGGUGGCCAGGAGACCACGCAUACAAACAGUUUUGAAGGCAAGAAAGAAACACUGAAAGUGAAGAUAGGCAGAAGGGCAUGGCUGCUGCAGCCUCUGUAGUGAUGACUUCACUGAGCCUGAAACCUUCUCCAUUCACAGUUGACAAAAGAGCUGUGAAAGGCCUUCCCUCCCUCACAAGAACUUCCUCUUUUAGGGUUGAGGCCAGUCGCAACAGGAAGGUCAAGA